AUGUCACUUUGAUCAUUGUGUUGGUCGUGGUCAUGUCCUUUGUUUGUGUUGCUAUCAUUAUCGCCGGCCUGCUUAUUCAAAAACAUCGCAACUGUGUGUCACACAGAGACUCUGAGGAGAACAGGACACCACAAAAAACAACCAAAGACACUGAAGAGUCCAAAACAUCUUUACUGAUUCAAGAGAACGAGGUGCGUAAGAAGAGGUCUCCUGGGAAAGAGAAAGAAAAUGGCUUCCCAAAAGAAUCAUCUCUGAUAGCAGGGUGUCAGCGACAGCAGCUUUUACCAUCGCCACAGGACUGUUAAACCAAAACAGAGGAACUAGAAGAAAGCAGCUCCCUGGAGCUUUAACAGUCACAUGUAGAGCUCUGAAGCAGGUAACUUCACUCUAACUCAGAGUCACAGUGACUGCAACACAGUGCAACAGUAAAGCUUUGAUUCAAACUAAUCUAACAGGCAGAUGACCAGAAUACAAGCUGGUGUGUUUUGAUGACAACAAGGAAAUGUCCUGUGAGGUUAUAGCGCCAUCUAGUGUGCUUUGUGAGGAGGAAGACGUUCACAUGAGCCCAAGUGCAUGGACAUAGCACAUUUGUAAAUAACUAUAAGUGUAUGCAGCUAUAAAGUUUAAUUUACAGCUAACAUAUUAAAUAACACACAUGAUGUUAUUUUCUGCAUAAUAUUUUCUGUGUGUUCUUAAUUUUGCACUUGACUCUGUUUUUUCUGUCUGGACACAUUAUGUAGUUGUAAUUGUGGUAAAGUUCUGACUGUAUGUGGGUCAGGUGGUUUUUGUUGUUGUCUUCUGUCUGUUUAUAUGUUUCUGCACUUGAUGUGCUGUGCAUUACUGUAUGUCCAAGGUGUUUCUAAUGAUCUAAUGUUGUAGAUUUAAUAAUUUAUUCUGACUGUUUAUUUUAAUUUAUUUUUGUUUUGUUUAUAAAACAGCUGUAUGUUUCACCAGUGGUUUCACUUCUGUUCACUUCAUGUUGUUGUUGCCCCUGAUUCUUAUUUAUUUAUUGUCCAGUGAUGUAUGUCUCUGGAUAGUUAGAGGACGUUUAACUGACUGGAAACCAGGACGUCCAUGUUCUAAAAACAUAACUGAAAACAUAUGAGAGUGUUCAGAAAGAUUUAAUCUUCCUCUUCUCACUGCACCAACCAAGGACUUUGAAUUAAUGACACCUACUGAAGAAACAAUAUAAUUUAGCCACACAAUUAUUCUAGAAGCCGAGAACAAUCAUUAUUUCAGUUAUUUUUUUAAUACCCUUAUGUCGAGAUCAAGAUUUAGUUAUUUAUUAUUUUUGAGAAAAUGAGCUUUGUUAUAAUGGCCUUAAAAAACAUAAUAGUAAGCAUGGCAUUCUUUGCUUGUAUGUACACUGAGGCUAAAUGAUGAAUGUGUGUGAGUCUUGUGUUAAAGAGACAUUCAGCUACUGUAAAACCUCAUUUAAUAGCCCGCACUAUUAUUUAAAUCACUGACAUCAACAGGCCUAUAUUUGGGACAGGCCUUUGAUUCCUUUCACACAAAACUGUUGCUCAGCAAAGAUCAGGAAUUACAAACACAUUUCUUUUGCCACACCGGGCUGAUAAAAGGGACUGGGCUUUUAACUGAGCUUUUAUGGUAAAUUAAAAAUGUGUCGGCA